rnacentral:rRNA from 1 species
GCCUACGGGGGGCUGCAGUGGGGAAUAUUGGACAAUGGGGGCAACCCUGAUCCAGCCAUGCCGCGUGUGUGAAGAAGGCCCUCGGGUUGUAAAGCACUUUCAGUGAGGAAGAACGCCUGGUGGUUAAUACCCAUCAGGAAAGACAUCACUCACAGAAGAAGCACCGGCUAACUCCGUGCCAGCAGCCGCGGUAAUACGGAGGGUGCGAGCGUUAAUCGGAAUUACUGGGCGUAAAGCGCGCGUAGGUGGCUUGAUAAGCCGGUUGUGAAAGCCCCGGGCUCAACCUGGGAACGGCAUCCGGAACUGUCAAGCUAGAGUGCAGGAGAGGAAGGUAGAAUUCCCGGUGUAGCGGUGAAAUGCGUAGAGAUCGGGAGGAAUACCAGUGGCGAAGGCGGCCUUCUGGACUGACACUGACACUGAGGUGCGAAAGCGUGGGUAGCAAACAGGAUUAGAUACCCUGGUAGUC